rnacentral:tRNA from 1 species
AGCAGUGUGGCCUAGGGGGAAAAGCAUAGGCCUGGAAGUCAAAGGGUCUAGGUUCUAAUCCUGGCUCUGCCA